rnacentral:rRNA from 1 species
UACGGGGGGGGGCAAGCGUUGUUCGGAAUUACUGGGCGUAAAGGGCUCGUAGGUGGCCAACUAAGUCAGACGUGAAAUCCCUCGGCUUAACCGGGGAACUGCGUCUGAUACUGGAUGGCUUGAGAUUGGGAGAGGGAUGCGGAAUUCCAGGUGUAGCGGUGAAAUGCGUAGAUAUCUGGAGGAACACCGGUGGCGAAGGCGGCAUCCUGGACCAACACUGA